GAUGAACGCUGGCGGCGUGCCUAACACAUGCAAGUCGAGCGGAAAGAUGUGUAGGGUUCCCCUCGGGCGUUAGCGGCGGGAGGGAGAGUAACACACGGAUCCGCUCCCUGUGAAACACGAAGCAAUUCGGGUACCAAGACCGAAUACCAGAUAAGAUUUAAAACCGGAGGGUGCAAGAGUUAACGACGGAGGUGCUGCCACUUGCAGAUGAGUCCGUGCCGGAUUAGCUAGUUGGUCGGGUAAAGGCUUACCAAGGCAACGAUGCGUAGCACACCUGAGAGGGCGACCGGCCACACUGGAACUGAGACACGGUCCAGACUCCUACGGGAGGCAGCAGUAGGGAAUCUUCGGCAAUGGGCGAAAGCCUGACGGAGCAAGGCCGCGUGAGUGAUGAAGGUCUUCGGGUCGUAAAACGCUGUUAUUAGGAAAGAACAAAUGUGUGAGUAACUAUGCACGUCUUGACGGUACCUAAAGAGAAAGCCCCGGCUAACUACGUG
rnacentral:rRNA from 1 species